GAUGAACGCUGGCGACGUGCCUAAUACAUGCAAGUCGAGCGAACAGACGAGGAGCUUGCUCCUCUGACGUUAGCGGCGGACGGGUGAGUAACACGUGGAUAACCUACCUAUAAGACUGGGAUAACUUCGGGAAACCGGAGCUAAUACCGGAUAAUAUAUUGAACCGCAUGGUUCAAUAGUGAAAGACGGUUUUGCUGUCACUUAUAGAUGGAUCCGCGCCGCAUUAGCUAGUUGGUAAGGUAACGGCCUACCAAGGCAACGAUGCGUAGCCGACCUGAGAGGGUGAUCGGCCACACUGGAACUGAGACACGGUCUAGACUCCUACGGGAGGCAGCAGUAGGGAAUCUUCCGCAAUGGGCGAAAGCCUGACGGAGCAACGCCGCGUGAGUGAUGAAGGUCUUCGGAUCGUAAAACUCUGUUAUUAGGGAAGAACAAAUGUGUAAGUAACUAUGCACGUCUUGACGGUACCUAAUCAGAAAGCCACGGCUAACUACGUG
rnacentral:rRNA from 1 species